GUUUUAUAUUUUAUUGUGUGUUGGCUACUCAUAUUAUUUUGUGCCAUGCAACCGAUGCUUCUUUUUUUUAUGUUGUUAAAAUAGAAUAAAAUAAGCCCUCCUCCAAUCCUAAGUUAUGGACUGACAGAGAAGGGGUUAACAAAUUGCCCUUCCCUUAUUUAAUUUAAUUUAAUUUUAUGGUGUUUUAUAUUUUUUUUUAUGUGCGUGUGUGUUGGCUGUUUAUGCUAUUUUGGACCAUGCAGCUGAUACUUCUUUUAUGCUGUUAAAAGAGAAUAAAAUAAGCCCUCCUCCAAUCCUAAAUGAUGGACUGGCAGAUAAGGGGCUAACUCAUGGCUUUUCCUUCUACUUUAUAUGCCCUGUUUUUUUUUGUAUUAGCUACCUUUGCUAUUUUGUGCCAUGCAACUGAUUCUUCUUCUCUCUUUUUUUUUGUUUAAAGAGAGAUAAAAUAGCCCCCCUACAAUCCUACCUGAUGACCUGGCAGAGAAGAGGUUAACCCCUGGCCUUCCCUUUCACUUUACAUACCCUCAUUUAUUUUAUUUUAUUUUUAUUUUGUGUUUUUUUUGUGUGUUAGCUAAUUUCGCUAUUUUGUGCCAUGCAACUGAUCCUUCUUCUUUUUUAUAGAACGAUAAAACAAGCCCCUUUCCAAUGCUAAUGGGUGGCCUGACAGAGAAAGGGUUAACCCCCAGGCUUUUCCCUUCCCUUCCACUUUGAUUAACGCACAUGCAGGCGAUGCAGGGAGACCGAGAGGGACUCACUUCCCUCAAAACAGGAUGUUUCCAUCAAGCAGUGUAUGAUUUUCCCCAAAGAGUUCCCUGCUCGGUUUAUUUGGGAAAGCCUACACGUGAACCCUCAUCCUUCACCUUAUUUAGGGGCACCCAUAAUUGUUUUCUAAUAUUCCAUGGUUUCCUAUGAAGUUUUCCAACUUUUCUAAGGGAGUGUUCUCCACCCCCCAAAAAAGAAAGAUAGACUUUCCAAAAUAAUCCCACCGUUUUCCCCUUUGUGACAAAACAAAAAACGCCUAGGAGGCUUGAGAUCAGAACAUACAGCUUAAAAUACAUUUUGAGUAGGUUGUUUUAUGAUAUAUAUAUUUUUUUUUGUGGGUUGUAUCUAGAUGCUUCUCAACCAAUUAUAAAAUAAAAAAUAUAUAUAAAGUACAGAAAGUUACUCUAGACUAGAGUAUGAAGCUUGGGGAACAUCAAAAAAUAAAGCUCAGUUUAAAUGCAA